rnacentral:tRNA from 1 species
UUAGGAAAUAGUAUAAAUUGGAAGUACAUGGAGUUUUGAUCUCUAUGGAGGAGGUUCGAGUCCUACUUUUCUA